GACGAACGCUGGCGGCGUGCUUAACACAUGCAAGUCGAACGGAAAGGCCCUGCUUUUGUGGGGUGCUCGAGUGGCGAACGGGUGAGUAACACGUGAGUAUCCUGCCCUUGUCUUUGGGAUAACUUCAGGAAACUGGGGCUAAUACAGGAUAGGAGCUCCUGAUGCAUGGUGGGGGUUGGAAAGUUUCGGCGGUUGGGGAUGGAUUCGCGGCUUAUCAGCUUGUUGGUGGGGUAGUGGCUUACAAAGGCUUUGACGGGUAGGCGGCAUGAGAGGGUGACCGGCCACAUUGGGACUGAGAGACGGACCAGACGCCUACGGGAGGCAGCAGUGGGGAAUAUUGCACAAUGGGCCGAAGUCUGAGGCAGCAACGCCGCGUGCGUGAUGACGUCCUUCGGGGGGUAAACCGCUUUCGCCUGUGACGAGGCGUGAGUGACGGUAAUGGGUAAAGAAGCACCGGCUAACUACGUG
rnacentral:rRNA from 1 species